GCCCCAAAUCAGCCUCAGACUCCAGAGGGUUAAACGUUGGAAUGUUGCAGGUGCAUUUUUCAACCCAAAGGGCAUGACAUUAAAGUGGAAGAGCCCAGAUGGAGUGAUGAAUGCUGUCUUUGGCUUACUCUGGGGGUCCAUGGCCACCUGCCAGUAGCCGAUGUUUAGAUCAAUUGUUGAAAAGAUGGCUGCUCCAGAAAGAGAUUCAAGGAUUUCAGUGAUGUUGGGAAGUGGAUAAGCAUCAUUCUCGGUGAUAGCAUUGAGCUUACGGUAGUCAACACAAAAUCUAAGGCUGCCAUCUUUCUUUGGAACAAGGACAACAGGAGAGGCCCAGCCAGAGUGUGAGGGUUCCACAAUUCCUGCAUUCAACAUCUCCACAAGUUGCUCUUGUACCACUGCUCAUUUAACAGGGGACAUGCGAUAAGGUCUCUGUUUAAUGGGCACUGGGUGCUGGGUAUAAAUAGUGUGGUGGAGGACAUCCGUACGAUCUGGUUGGAGAGAACACGUUUGAGGGUUGGACUCCAGGAUUCCUCUCAAUGUAUUUUUGUCAGUAAGAGGUAUGUGAGCUUCACUCACAGCACUGUCAAUUAAAGUUUGUACAUAUGUACUGUCAAGUGGUGAGGAUCGGCACACAGGUUGUGGUGGAGGGAUAGAACUUAACAGGGUGAGGCUUUGGUUAAAAGUCUUUACAUGUCCUGUCUUUUGGCGUUGAGGAUUUAUAUCAGGAACACUGGCAUUUCCUGGUUGAAAUGGAUGAUCUUCUUGUGGUGUGGACUUAAAUGAAUAUUUUUGAUCAAUUACAUUGAUUUGCAGGCCUCUGAAGAAGAUGAAAUCCAGUCCCAGAACUACAGCAUAGGCAAGAGAUUUCGGGGAAAGGACAGCAACAGCUAAAUACAAUGGACCAAGAGACCAAGGUUGGAGGCUCUCUUGCGGAGAAAACUUUUGCCACAGACUUUCGUGGAUCAUGGUGUAGCUGGCCCCUGUGUCCACGAUGGCCUUUCCAGACCAACCACCGAUGAGAACUGGAACAACCAGCUGUUGUGGGAUGACUGGAGGAGUAACAGGUUUUGGCUUAGAGGGUGGUUUCUUGGAAGUGGACAACAUUUUAUUUGUUGUAGCAGUCACCGAAUUAUUAGUUGCUUGACUUCCAGACUUACGGGAAUGAAAUGUCCGUUGACUGGUGAAAGGAUGUUGCUGUUUUGUAGGUUGAUUUGAUGGGUUAGCGUUAGAAUAAAGUGGACAACAACCCGUUGCUGCUCAUGGUCUUUCUCUAUCUGAUGUCCCAGUUUUACCAGUUCUUCCACAGUGCUCACCCGACUACAUAGCUGGCUGGCGAGCCAGCUCGUCUUCGUAGUCUUCUGAGAGAAAAGCUGAGAGGAAAGCAGUCUCGAAGUCAUUCCAGGUCGUUACUGACGAUCGGGCGACCUCCCACCAGUCACGUGCAGUGCCAUGGAGUACGCUUCGGAAGGUUGCUAGGAUGUCAGUUUCUGCAAGUGGGUGCAAUGCCAAAAAGUCUUGACACCGUGUAAGGUACAGCAAAGGAUCACAGUCAUCAGACGGUCUUCCAAAUGUGGGAAAGGUCAACUUUAAAUGGUCACUUUUCCCAGCAGGUAUAGGAGGACACUCUGGGACAUUUUCUAGUGGUGAUGGUCUGGUAAGUGUGGCGAUAGGUGGUGGUUGUACCCCUUUACUUAGGUGAUCAGACAUUUCCUUUUCUUGUUGUUUGUCUUUCGUCAUGUUUGUUUGAAGUCCACUUAAUUGGGUAGCAAGCUUGUCAACCUGGGUGAUGCACUGGUUACAUUCAGUGGAAAGCUGCUCAUGAUCUGUUUGAAGAUUCUUAUAGGUAUCUCUGAGGUCUCUCUGAAUUUCAAGCUGAAGUUGAUCCACCAUAAACCGGACUUCAGCAAUCAAGGAGUUGGAAGAUAACCAGGCAGAUCAUGCUGAGCUCCUGAAGAUGAUGAGGAAGUGUCAGGAGAGGUGCAUAAUUGCAUGGGAUCUGAUCCUACUUGCCAGGUGGGAACUUGGACUGGUGGACUGACAUCUGGUGUUGGGGAGACAAAACGCACAUGGGUUCCAGGCAGGGCACUGCUGGACUGAGUGGGUGUUGAAUAGAAGGUGGGGACAUGUGGUAAUGGGUAAACUCUUGGUUGCUGCUGCAGCAGUUGUUGCUCAGGAGGCCAGACAGGGGUUGAUACGUCUGGAGGUGGAUCGAUGUCCACAAAAGUGGUUGGAGAGGGGGUUGAAGGAGGCGUAGAAGUGGCCAUGUUUGUGUUGGGUGUGUCAAUGACACAUGUAAAAUGUUGUGUAAAUAAUCAAUAAAUGAGAUGAGUGA